GGGGGAGGGAGUGUAUGUUACUUACUUAUCUUGAUGACAAACUUCAACAUCAUGUUUAUAUUGGUUCAUCAGAAACCUUGUAGAAAACCUACUCUAUUAAUUGGUAUUCCAUCUUGUAUGGACUGUCGUGGUUCUAUAAAUAGCACUAUCAGAUAUAAAUUAAAUCACAUUCAAAGUUAUGUUUAUCCAUUGGACAACAAACAACAACAAAC
rnacentral:lncRNA from 1 species